rnacentral:misc_RNA from 1 species
GAUGAAGAACGCAGCGAAAGGCGAUAAGUAAUGUGAAUUGCAGAAUUCAGUGAAUCAUCGAAUCUUUGAACGCACAUUGCGCCCCCUGGUAUUCCGGGGGGCAUGCCUGUUCGAGCGUCAUUUCACCACUCAAGCCUCGCUUGGUAUUGGGCAACGCGGUCCGCCGCGUGCCUCAAAUCGACCGGCUGGGUCUUCUGUCCCCUAAGCGUUGUGGAAACUAUUCGCUAAAGGGUGUUCGGGAGGCUACGCCGUAAAACAACCCCAUUUCUAAGGUUGACCUCGGAUCAGGUAGGGAUACCCGCUGAACUUAAGCAUAUCAAUAAGCGGAGGA